rnacentral:rRNA from 1 species
GAUGAACGCUGGCGGCGUGCCUAAUACAUGCAAGUCGAGCGAAUGGAUUAAGAGCUUGCUCUUAUGAAGUUAGCGGCGGACGGGUGAGUAACACGUGGGUAACCUGCCCAUAAGACUGGGAUAACUCCGGGAAACCGGGGCUAAUACCGGAUAACAUUUUGAACUGCAUGGUUCAAAAUUGAAAGGCGGCUUCGGCUGUCACUUAUGGAUGGACCCGCGUCGCAUUAGCUAGUUGGUGAGGUAACGGCUCACCAAGGCAACGAUGCGUAGCCGACCUGAGAGGGUGAUCGGCCACACUGGGACUGAGACACGGCCCAGACUCCUACGGGAGGCAGCAGUAGGGAAUCUUCCGCAAUGGACGAAAGUCUGACGGAGCAACGCCGCGUGAGUGAUGAAGGCCUUCGGGUUGUAAAGCUCUUUCGCAAGGGAAGAAACGAUACAGUCUAAUAAACUGUGUUAAUGACGGUACCUUGCUAAGAAGCACCGGCUAACUACGUGCCAGCAGCCGCAGUAA